rnacentral:lncRNA from 1 species
GCACCUGCAUCCCAGCCCCUUUGCUCAGCCCGCAGGUACUCAAGGCGCCUCUUCCUUCCCAAAGAGGCGCAAUCCUCAAAGCAUCCCCAACAUGGGAACUUGCAGAGAACUAGGAAAGGUUUGCACUGUUUGGGAUUAAUUGAGAAUAAUUAACACUGGACACGGUUAAUCACCACUUCGCAGCUCUCUUCCCUCCUUUCGGGCCUGUGGUGUCGGCCUCUUUUGCUCCGGCUGACGAUGCGGGUGGGUUUGCUGGUGAAAGUGAAGACGUCGCAGUAGCUGUCACCCAGUUCUGCUGUACUUUAAAGCGCUCGCAUAUUGUUUGAUUACUAAUUCGAGUUAAUAUGAUCUUUAUGGCAACAUAACAGUGGAUAAUUGGCCUUUUUUCUCAACAACAAUGUAAAUCACAAUCGCUUUAUUAUUUAAUAACGUCAAACGCUUCGUUGGAUUGGCCCCGACCGAGAAGACCUUUUCUUUCUAGACAGUAUUAUGGGGGAAGGACAAUGAAGAUCUAAUUGUGGAGGUUUCAUAAGUUGGCUCCGGUAAAUGAACAGCUUCGAUAUGGAAGUCCCAGCAGAUGUGGGCACCGCUAGCUGUAGAAACUCCACCCCACCCCUCUACCCACCAUCCAAACACACUGUUGGAGGCUUUCUGGGGUGGCUGUGGUCCACGGAGCCUAGCAACCACCUGAAGUUCCCAGUAGCAAUUAGAGCUUGUAUCAGGCUCUUUACAUUGGGGAUUUAUCAUUAAGGCAUCCAGUCAGCUCACCAAAUUAACACGACUUGCAAAUAGCCACAACCCUUUGGGCGCCCUUACGGUGAAUUUGGCUGUGGGACAGGGAGAGCAGGGGUCUGCGUUUUGUUUUGCUUUGUUUUGGUUGGUUGGUUGGUUUGGUCUUAUUUUGUUCUGGUGUGAUU